UACAGAGUUUCUCAGAUGUCUUAUCUAGUAUGCUAAUAACUAUUGCUCCAAUUUUUAUAUAUUGCUUGUUUUGGUUAUUAGAUACUAAUAAUUCUAAGAUGCUUGUGUAUAAAUUCAACAUGAUGGUAGGUCUGUGUUUCUCCUUGUAGUUUUCUAACUUUAUAUAUUUUGAGGGUACUUUGUUAAGAAAUUCAAAUUAAAGUGUUGUAUAUUCCUGAUAAGUUAAAUUCUAUUUUUAUCUCACAUUAAUAUAGUAACAAAAUAUUUUUUCUUGUUAUGAUAUAAUAAGAGUUCUGUGGUAUAUAAUUUUCUAUCAUUUUACUUUUCAACGUUUUAUGUUCUUUAUGCUGUAAUUAUAUCUCUUAGAAAUGGCAUAUAGAUGGACCUUUAAAAAUCUAAUCUGAACACUUCAAGAUGUAGACCUCAAAGAUGUCUUCAUUGACAGGAUGCCAAUGACAAGGACUAUAGAAUCAAACCUGACUAAAUGAGAUUACAUCAAACCAAAAAAAAAUUUUUUUAUGGCAAAAGAAACACUAGCUAAAAUUAAAAGACAGCUGAGUGGGAGAAAAUAUUUGCAUUCAGAUAAAGGGAUGAUAUCUUUUUUUGGAAGCCUCAUGCCCCAAUCCCAAGAGCGUGGGUCUGAAAGCAAAUGCUGAUACUGGAAAUAAUACACACAAGGUUGAAGAGAAUAAAAUAGUUUCAGGAAACUUCCACCACAAGCUUUCCACUCACUAGCAAAAUAUAUCAGCAGGCAGACUAAUCGUGGCAACUGAAACCACAAGCAGCUUCUCCAUGAGACCCAAGGUCUGUGUUUGGAAGAUAAAAAGCACCCCCUUGGGUGGAGAGCAGAUAGGAAUAAGGGAAGAAUCCACAGGUACUUCAGUCCAUCAAUGACAAACACCAGCAAAGAGGAAUUAUUCCGAAUAUGAGUGCAAACUGGUUACAAUGACAACUCUCCCUUCUUAAUUUUAUAGAAAAUACAAAAAAUAUGAGAUAAAAAAGUAAUUUGUGUUUUAAGGUUUAUGCAAAGGACAGGAGACCCUAUCUAAAAAUAAAAAUUGUGGCAAUUUUUGCAUAAGCACAGUAAAAGUUGGGAAAGUAGAAAGAAAAAACCUUUGGCCUAAAAACAGGGCAUUCCUACCCAUGAAGCAUCCUGUCAUAAGACCAAAUAUAGGCUCCCGGGAAAAUUAAUUUGUCUAACCCCAAAGUCUUUUUUCAUGAUCCCUGGAAAAUUUCUCCUCAUCCCAAUUGUCAGAGUCAGACUUGAAUAUUUAGAGAUCUUGAUUUUUGCACUGAUCCUAUGUUGAAGUCAGGAUGUCACGAAGUGUCUCCUAGUUUCAUAUCAUCAUUUGGUGAUGUGGCAAGGAAACCCAUCCUGAAAGCAAGGCAUUGCUUGUUUCCAAGUCAUUGUUAUGGUGGCAUAGGAGCCCACUCUGGAACAAAUCAGUGCCAAAAAAAACAUUAGGGGCUGCCCUGGUAGAAGGUUGAUUCAGGGUGAUGGUGCAGAAACCAUGAUAAUUCCAAAUAUGGGACACAAGCUUUAGGGGUUAAUGGUUAAUGUCCAAGCAACUGAAGCCUAAGUGAAGUCACUAUGACAAAUGUUCAGGGUGGAAAAUAAAAAUUUCAGAGUUCCUAUCCUUAUUAAAUAGGAAAUUAUCUCUAUACCUAAGAUUUCUUCCAUUUUAUUGUGCCUAUGCAAAAAAGGAACAAUGCCACAGAAAACUAUUGGUGCAUAUAUGGAUAUAACAAGUUAAUAACAAGCAAACUAAACAAUCCCUAUAACCUGGUUCUACUAGAAACACAGACUCAAUAAAUAUAUUUCUACUAGAAUUUUCUACUAAACAAACCAAAAAAGUGGGAAAAAAUUACAUCUACAUAUGUAAGUACACAAUAAAGAAUUAGACAUAUUUAGGAAGUUCACCAAAAAUAUAUACAUAUCCCCCUUCAGUCUUUUGAAAUAGUUUGAGGGGGAUAAAAUCCAGAGUACACCUUCAGCCUUCAUUAAGUUGUGGUUAUCAAACUGACUUUAUAGGUUAGAUUGUGCAUAGACCAUCCCCAAAAUAAUCAUAUUU